rnacentral:rRNA from 1 species
GCGGCGAACGGGUGAGUAACACGUGGGUGAUCUGCCCUGCACUUCGGGAUAAGCCUGGGAAACUGGGUCUAAUACCGGAUAUGACCUCCGGUUGCAUGACUUGGGGUGGAAAGAUUUAUCGGUGCAGGAUGGGCCCGCGGCCUAUCAGCUUGUUGGUGGGGUAAUGGCCUACCAAGGCGACGACGGGUAGCCGACCUGAGAGGGUGACCGGCCACACUGGGACUGAGACACGGCCCACACUCCUACGGGAGGCAGCAGUGGGGAAUAUUGCACAAUGGGCGAAAGCCUGAUGCAGCGACGCCGCGUGAGGGAUGACGGCCUUCGGGUUGUAAACCUCUUUCAGCAGGGACGAAGCGCAAGUGACGGUACCUGCAGAAGAAGCACCGGCUAACUACGUGCCAGCAGCCGCGGUAAUACGUAGGGUGCAAGCGUUGUCCGGAAUUACUGGGCGUAAAGAGUUCGUAGGCGGUUUGUCGCGUCGUUUGUGAAAACCAGCAGCUCAACUGCUGGCUUGCAGGCGAUACGGGCAGACUUGAGUACUGCAGGGGAGACUGGAAUUCCUGGUGUAGCGGUGAAAUGCGCAGAUAUCAGGAGGAACACCGGUGGCGAAUGCGGGUCUCUGGGCAGUAACUGACGCUGAGGAACGAAAGCGUGGGUAGCGAACAGGAUUAGAUACCCUGGUAGUCCACGCCGUAAACGGUGGGCGCUAGGUGUGGGUUCCUUCCACGGAAUCCGUGCCGUAGCUAACGCACUAAGCGCCCCGCCUGGGUGAGUACGGCCGCA